rnacentral:misc_RNA from 1 species
GAUGAAGAACUUAGCGAAAUGCGAUAAGUAAUGUGAAUUGCAGAAUUCAGUGAAUCAUCGAGUCUUUGAACGCACAUUGCGCCCCCUGGUAUUCCGGGGGGCAUGCCUGUCCGAGCGUCAUUGCUGCCCUCAAGCACGGCUUGUGUGUUGGGCCGUCGUCCCCCUCCUAGGGGACGGGCCCGAAAGGCAGCGGCGGCACCGCGUCCGGUCCUCGAGCGUAUGGGGCUUCGUCACCCGCUCCGUAGGCCCGGCCGGCGCUUGCCGACGACCAUCAAUCUCUUUCUCCAGGUUGACCUCGGAUCAGGUAGGGAUACCCGCUGAACUUAAGCAUAUCAAUAAGCGGAGGA